UUUUUGAACUAAUAUAGAAUAUCACACUCGUGUGAAGUUAAUAUACAGCAACUCGUUUAACUUAAGCUACAAAAUAUGAAAAUUGUAAAGUUAAUAACCAUCUUUGCGAUAAUUGCAACAUUGAUGACAACCGUAAUUACCAAAAAAGCUCUCGGCCCUAAAGUACUAGCAUCACUGGCAGGAAAAUAAAACUGAAAUCUGAAACGCGAAUAAUUAUAAAAUUGUGAUUCCAAAAUGGAUGUGCCAAUAAAUCUACAUAAAUGCACACAAUAGUAUUCAUUAUCAAAAAAAUAAACUUGGAUAAUGGAACACAAAUAAUUGCAAAAUUGUAAAAUUGUGAUAUCAAAAUGAAUCAAUAAAGCAUUAAUUACAUAUA